rnacentral:rRNA from 1 species
UACGAAGGGUGCAAGCGUUAAUCGGAAUUACUGGGCGUAAAGGGCGCGUAGGCGGCUUUUCAAGUGGCGGGUGAAAUCCCUCGGCUUAACCGAGGAACUGCCUGCCAGACUGAAUGGCUUGAGACCGGGAGAGGUGAGUGGAAUUCCCAGUGUAGCGGUGAAAUGCGUAGAUAUUGGGAGGAACACCAGUGGCGAAGGCGGCUCACUGGACCGGUACUGACGCUGAGGCGCGAAAGCGUGGGGAGCGAACAGG